UUUGUUUUGAUAUCACAAUUGUUCAGAGAUUGUAGAAGAAGAAAACAAAAGGUUAUUUUUUUUACUUUGUUUUGAUAUCACAAUUGUUCAGAGAUUGUAGAAGAAGAAAACAAAAGGUUAUGUUGAUUGAAAAGUUUAAAAAACACAAUAAUAAAAUAUCUAUUAUUAUAAAGAACAGUUUGCUCUCUCCUCCUUGCGCCACGUAAGAUUCCACCUAGGAAAGUCAUUGAACUAGGGAAUGACACGUGUCCGGCGCCUCUGAACGCACAGUUUCAUUUAAACGAUCGUGGGCUUGGACAGCGUAUUGGUGUGCUUGGGCUCCGAAUUUGUGAGAUUUACCCGGCCCGCUUAAGUUGAAGUCGGCUCUAACCCUAAUACUACUGAAUCGAAGACAAGAAGUUUGACUCUCCUGAUCGUGCGGUAGCCGAGACGGUGACCUCUGCGCUUCAUCUCACGAUCUGAAACGGUCUAAUUAAUAGCUUCGUCAUAAAUCCCAUAGAUUCGCUUUCCGACGAUGUGUGGGUUUGGUAUAAAUAUAUGUGAGAUUCUUUCCCCUUGAGAUCAUCUUCUCUUCGUAUCUCUUAUAUCUCAUUGAUUAGGGGGAGUAGUUUGGCUCCUUGCGGUGGUUGAGAGGAUAGUGAUUCAGAAGGUGGUGGAGGACGGGCGUGCGGUGGCGAUCCGUGUUGUCGAGAAGCGAGGGAUUGGUUUGAGAAGAGGGAAGGUGAGAGGUUGAACGGAGUGAGAUCGGAUAGUCGGAAGAGAAGGGAGAGAGAUGGUUGGUGGCGGAGAUCUCGAUGAGAUGCAGCAGAGGAGAGACAAGCGUGAGGGAUGGUGGUGGCGAGAGAGUGAAGUGCAAAGCUCUCCAUCGCCGGGAGAUUAGAGAGACGUGCGAAGUGUUUUAGUUUUUUUGGUCAGUGGCUGUGUGUUUGUUCUGUGGCUGAAGAGCUAUGAUGGGUAGUGGAUGUGAAGAAGACAAUUAAAUUAUUAAACAGAACCUAAAAAAGUCUUCGGUUCUUUAUUUUAACCAAAUUAAAUUAUAAUUUGGCUCAAUACAACUCCAAGAUUAAUUUUUGAAUCCCUUUAAGAGUACAAUCGUAAACACAGCC
rnacentral:lncRNA from 1 species